GGACGAACGCUGGCGGCGUGCCUAAUACAUGCAAGUCGAACGGUCUUUCUAUGGAAGCUUGCUUCCACUGAGGAGAUAGUGGCGAACGGGUGAGUAACACGUGGGUAACCUGCCCAUAAGAGGGGGGAUAACAUCCGGAAACGGGUGCUAAUACCGCAUAGUUUUCUUGAUCGCAUGAUCGGGAAAGGAAAGACGGCCUUUGUGCUGUCGCUUAUGGAUGGACCCGCGGCGUAUUAGUUAGUUGGUGAGGUAACGGCUCACCAAGACGAUGAUACGUAGCCGACCUGAGAGGGUGAUCGGCCACAUUGGGACUGAGACACGGCCCAAACUCCUACGGGAGGCAGCAGUAGGGAAUCUUCCGCAAUGGACGAAAGUCUGACGGAGCAACGCCGCGUGAGUGAAAGAAGGUUUUCGGAUCGUAAAACUCUGUUGUCAGAGAAGAACAAGUUGGAGAGUAACUGCUCCAGCCUUGACGGUAUCUGACCAGAAAGCCACGGCUAACUACGUGCCAGCCGCCGC
rnacentral:rRNA from 1 species